rnacentral:lncRNA from 1 species
GGGGUGGACGGCCUCUGCAAAGUGGCCUGAUCAGAUUCCUGAGCAUCUAGGUCAUUGGGCAGGAUGGCGCCUGGCUGGAGCCACCGUUGCUCUCUUCUGACCUUGAAAGGUGUGACAAGUGGAUCUGCAUUCAUUGCUCUGUGAGCCUCUAUUGAGUAUCUAUGAUGUGCUGGGCAUUGACCUGAUCUUUAUGAGAAUUUGGUUAUUUGGAUGAAAUGCUUAUUUCUUUUUUAACAUAAGCAUUGACUGGAAAUAUUGGUUAUUCUGUCUGAUAUUACAUGAAGGUCAGAUGCCCUCCAUGCAACCAUGAGGUCGGAUGGCAGUUUGAUGCUGAACCAGCAAACAAGGCUUCCUCUGCCACUUGCUACUCCUUUGUACUCGUUCCACCUGGCAGUCUGAGGAACACAAACUAAAAUGCAGGUAUUGGUAUCCCAAUAAGAGGCUGUGAAGACAGUUCAAAAAGGGAAGUUUUGAGGCUGGGAUUCUGGAGAAAGGCAUUCAUCUCCCGGUAGGCCCAAGUUCACUUCCUUCUCCACUACAGAACUGCCUCGAUGCGUUUGAGAACAUUCUGUCCUUAUUGUGAAUGCUGACUUGCUCCAAUCAACACAUUUCUUUAACUCCUUUAAAACCAGCUUGUUAGAGCUGUCUACAAUGCCGUGAGGUUCCAACUUCCUCUGAUUAAUUAGGAGGCUCAGAAAUGUCAUAUACUUGUUAUGUACCUCCUACAUGCCUGGUCCUCUGCUAGGAGUUGAGGGUAAAGCAGUGAAUUGGACAAAUAAAAUAGAAACCAGUAUCCACAAGGGCACAGUGAUGG